rnacentral:rRNA from 1 species
GAUGAACGCUGGCGGCGUGCCUAAUACAUGCAAGUCGAGCGAACGGAAGAGAAGCUUGCUUCUCUGAUGUUAGCGGCGGACGGGUGAGUAACACGUGGAUAACCUACCUAUAAGACUGGGAUAACUUCGGGAAACCGGAGCUAAUACCGGAUGAUAUUUUGAACCGCAUGGUUCAAAAGUGAAAGACGGUCUUGCUGUAACUUAUAGAUGGAUCCGCGCUGCAUUAGCUAGUUGGUAAGGUAACGGCUUACCAAGGCAACGAUCAAUAGCCGACCUGAGAGGGUGAUCGGCCACACUGGAACUGAGACACGGUCCAGACUCCUACGGGAGGCAGCAGUAGGGAAUCUUCCGCAAUGGGCGAAAGCCGGACGGAGCAACGCCGCGUGAGUGAUGAAGGUCUUCGGAUCGUAAAACUCUGUUAUUAGGGAAGAAGAGAUGGGUAAGUAACUGUGCACAUCUUGACGGUACCUAAUCAGAAAGCCACGGCUAACUACGUG